rnacentral:lncRNA from 1 species
AAAGCACAUAUAAACCCACAGCCACUGUGGGUGGAAGGAGAAGGGCAGGGUGGAAAAAGCUUGAGAGAAGGAGGGAGGAAAAGGUGUCCUGGCUAGCACCAUGUGGAUUCUCUUGAGAUGAGAAGAAAAUGCCUGGCUACGUCCCCCUUCUGCUGCUCCUGCUUCUCCUGAGGUGUUCAGAACGGGGUGGGGGAGUUAAUUUUGGUGAGAAGGAUGCAAAAGUCCCCAGGACCUGGAGAGAUGGAGUCAGGGUCCCUGAAGAAGCCUCUUGGGACUCAGACAGGGCCAGUCCUGAGCGAAGGUACGGAAUAGAACCGCAGGCACAACUGGAUGAGAGGAGACACCUAUGAACAUGGAGCCAGAAUACCCCAAUUGCUGAAACACCAGUUCAGAGAGGAGUGAGCUUGAGAAAGAGUCAGGUUUAGUGUCCCACGGAAAGAGAACAGACCUGGAAAAGACAGAGUCAAAGCUGGGUGAGCAGGCCUUCGAAGGGCGUGGCUCA